rnacentral:rRNA from 1 species
UACGAAGGGGGCUAGCGUUGCUCGGAAUCAUUGGGCGUAAAGCGCACGUAGGCGGUUCGGUAAGUCGGAUGUGAAAUCCCUCGGCUUAACCGAGGAAGUGCAUCCGAAACUGCCGAGCUUGAGUACGGAAGAGGGUCUCGGAAUUCCCGGUGUAGAGGUGAAAUUCGUAGAUAUCGGGAGGAACACCAGUGGCGAAGGCGGGUCUCUGGGCCGAUACUGACGCUGAGGAGCGAAAGCGUGGGGAGCGAACAGG